rnacentral:rRNA from 1 species
GCCGCAAAAUUUGUGCUAAGGUAGCAUAAUCAAUAGUCUAUUAAUUGUAGAAUAGAAUGAAUGGAAUAACGAAUUUUAAGAUAUUCCACAAACACAUAUAAAAGCUAUAAUUUAGGUAAAAAUACCUAACCCCUAAGAAAGACGACAAGACCCCGGGAACUCCUAUCAAUUAGCUGGGGCGGCUAAAAAACAACUUCUUAUUGAUCCCAUCUUAAUCAGAACUUCACAGUAAUCCAUGACAAACGUUACCCCGGGGAUAACAGCAUAAUUUUUGUCUAAAGUUCUUAUACAAACAAAAGAUUAUGACCUCGAUGUUGAAUUAAAAUUUCUACUUCCUCCUAAGCAACCAUAAAGCAAGAAAGUCUGUUCGACU